CUUUUCCUGCUGCUGGCUGUGCUCUUUGUGGUGCUCCAGGCUGUUGCAGGUCAGCGCUACAUUCCUAGGCCUAUUGAUACUUGUAGGCUUCGAAAUGGAAUCUGCACUCCAGGUAUCUGUCGGAGGCCAUAUUACUGGAUUGGAACAUGUAACAACGGAAUGGGCUCUUGCUGUGCAAGGGGCUGGAAUAACUGAUACCUCCCUGACUUCUCCUGGGGAAUCCUUCCUGCAUCUACCAAAUGGCCUCUCCAGCACUCCAGCUCCAUCAUACCUGCGGGCACUACAUCCUCCUGCAAAAAAAAAGAUAUAUGUAUUAUUAAAAAAAAGGAAUGGCUUUUAAUACUUCUCUCGCUCUGAAGCACAUACCAGCACCUGUGAAAUCACAAAUCUGAACAAUCAGCACUUCUGAAAUCAUAAAUAUUUCUUCCUUGCUUAAAUAAAAUGGCUAACACUGGCA
rnacentral:lncRNA from 1 species